GACAGAGGGUGCAAACGUUGUUCGGAUUUACUGGGCGUAAAGCGCGUGUAGGCGGCUUUGCAAGUCGGAUGUGAAAUCCCACGGCUCAACCGUGGAAGUGCAUCCGAAACUGCAUCGCUGGAGUCUCGGAGAGGAAGGUGGAAUGCUUGGUGUAGAGGUGAAAUUCGUAGAUAUCAAGCAGAACACCUGCGGCGAAGGCGGCUCUCUGGACCGAUACUGACGCUGAGGCGCGAAAGCGUGGGGAGCAAACAGG
rnacentral:rRNA from 1 species